UGCUAUAUGUCAGUUGCAUCUCAGUGAAGUUGGGAAAAAAAUAAGCAUCUCAUUCUUUUACCAGGACAACCUGUGCAGAGGAGUAAGUUGCUGAUGAUCAAACUUAAGGCUGUUUUAACACAUGAAACAGUGAUGAAAUCCUAGAGGGUGUAUUUCAACAGCCAUGGUCCCCUCUACCACUUGCAUUCCUUUAAGUUCAUGUGAGAAAGAGGAUGAGAGUCUGGUGAGAGUGCAGUCAGUCUGGGAGAGUCAAAUGCAGUUUUUUCUUCUAGGUAGAUGGGGCCCUGGAUAAUUGGACCCAGGUGCCUGGAAGAGAGGCCACAAAGCUUUCAAGGUAUAAUCAAGCCUACUUAAGAUUAUAAACAGCACGUGUCCUUUGCUUGUCAGAGCGCUCUCAGCCUCACCUCUGACAGGACUCUCCAGUUCUUUCCCUUCAAACAAAAGUCCUCGCCUCCUCCUGCUGUUUCCACAACCCAGUUCCCAUGACUUUUGUUCUUCCCACUGCUGAAGGGAUUCUGCUUCAAUCCCUUUUCCCAAUCCCAGAAUCAAUCAGAUGCAUCUCCAGUGUCAAGGAUUCCUGGCAGGAGCCCCAAAUGGGCAAGAGUGGAGUCCAGGUCCUCUGCACAGAUGGAGUUGGCCCUUGGCGGCCCUGCACAACACAAGAUCACGGCAGGGCCACGAUCUUGGCUAACUCCACAGUGGCUGUCAAGCUCGCAGUACAAUGCCUGGCAUACUGGAGUUCAAAAAACCACACCAAGGACUCAUCACAGCUGACACCUGACGCUCACAGGUUAAGAACAUGCAAUUUUGAUGAAUCUGCCCAAACUUCAGCACCCAUGAAAUUCAAGUCUUUCAUUUUCUGGAAGCUCAAAUUUGAAUUUCCUCUUUGUGAGGCUAAUCCGUGGGAAAUAGUCAUUGAGCUGAGUCCACUGUUCAAUUUCAAAGCAACUUGGUGUAUUUGGACAGGGAUAUAAACUCUCCUCAGGGGACAGAAGGAACUCCUAACAUUCUCACUUAUACCCUGCUGUAAUUUCUGGAGGAAAUUAUAUGCUAUGCAGUGGUCCCCAAACUUUUGACCCCAGGGACCGGUUUCGUGGAAGACAACUUUUCCACAGAUCAGGCGGAGGGGGAUGGUUUUGGGAUGAUUCAAGUACAUUCUAUUUAUUGUGCUCUGUCCAUGGAAUUCUCCAGGCAAGAGUACUAGAGUGGGUAGCCAUUCCCUUCUCCAGCGGAUCUUCCCGACGCAGGGAUCAAACCUGGAUCUCCUGCACUGCAGACAGAUUCUUUACCAUGUGAGCAUCAGGAAAGCCCUGACUAACUUUUAUUUCCAUUAUUAUUACAUCAGCUCCACCUCAGAUCAUCAAGUGUUAGAUCCCGGAAGUUGGGGAUCCCUGCUAUAGAGGAAAUUUCACGGACAGAGGAGCCUGGCGGCCUGCAAUCCAUGGGGUCUCAAAGAAUCGGACAUGACUGAGUGACUAUCACACACACAUUACAGACCUUAUUUUCUAACUCUUCCCCUAGCUUCUGAAACAGAUAAACUCCAUGUCCUCUUGCAGUCAAGAUUCAUUUAGUGUUUUCAGGCUGUCAGAAGGUCAGUAAGAGGAACUUAGAAGAGGGUCCCCAUUAUGUACCUUAGCCACAGAGGUGGUCAAACCUGUGACAUGUCCUGAAACUGUCCACAGGGUCACUCUCCUUCCCCCAAAGAGAAGAAAGCUCCUAUUGCAGGCUGCUCAUGGGUCAGCUGUUGGCAGUCAGGGCGGGCCUCCAGAUACCCUGCACCUCCCCCCAAUCAUGCCCACGUGGGGGUGGUUAACACAGGGCCUCCUCCCCUGUGGAGAAUUAAUUGGAAAUGUUACACUUCAAGAGGAAAAACAAGAGUAAUGGAAAAGGCAUCUGUGUGUGACCAAAGCCUUAACUGAAAACAGGUUUUCUCUGCUCCCAGGCUAGGAACCCAGGAGGAGCCUGGGAGCCCAGCAGGCAGCAAGCACAGUGUGCAUUUGGGGAUGGAGUGACCCUGCCGUGAUCUGUGCAUGAGGAGGGAAGGCAAUGAAGACCCAACAAACGGUGGCUUAAAUAAGAUGUGACUCACAGGCAGCAGGCCAGCGUUAGUGCAAUGUCUGCUGGGACUCAUCAAACACCUGGCUGCUUCGCUAUUUCUGCUCACCAGCCCGGUAUUCUGCAGUUCUUUUCUUGGGGAAAGAGGCUGCUCCCGGUGUCCACACUCACAGCUAAAGGACAGGAGGUCAACAAGGUGCAAUUGCUUAACGGCCGACCCCAGCGAGGUCUGCUCACAUCUUGUUGGCCAGAAGUGGAUCACGUUGCCCGUCCUGACUGCAAUGGAAUCUGGGAAGCUGAAUGGUUUAACUGACGGCACAGCUGCAGCUUACAGUAAAAUCAAGGUUCUCUUGGUGUGGAAGAAGGGGAUAAUAAACAGGAGUGUUGGUCACAAAAGUGUAAAGGCCAAAAAUACAAACAUAUUUCCAACUCUGAUACCUCCCUCUCAUCAGCAAUGUUUCUCCUUGUCUACAGAUUCCCAGUGGUAAUGGUCCACGCUCUUGCAAAUCCCAGCCAGUUCAAUUUGACUAUACAAUGUCAGAGGCCCUGCAUUACCUCCCUCCUAUCUACUCACUUUCCCAGGAGUGAUGUUCCUGGCAUCUUUUAAGACUCUAAAAUAACAUAAGUACUUGGGGGUGGGGUGGGGCAGAACAUUCCCUGGACUCCAUGGGCUGUCUUCAGGGUUGAGGGCUGGAUAUUCCCGAGGAGCAGAAUUGGAUGCAAAUUCCUUCUCACUCUGCUGCUCUUCCAGCCCCCUUCUGCCAGCCCCCCUCCCCCCGACACAGCAGUCCUCUGAGGAUUGUAUCAUGGGAUUGUCUCCAUCAGUGCAUUUCUUACAAACAUCUGGUGGUACAGCCUUGCCUGUUCCAAUGCUCUGAGUCUCAGACCACAGGCGUUCUCCUGAAUAGUCAAGUGAUCUUUCCCCUGAGUCUGAGGAGGAAAUUCGUGCUGGUCUCCUGAGCUGCUUUCUGAGCAGUGGAAAGUUGUUUAUUCCACAUAAUUAAUGGACAGAGAAACUGAGCCUAAUUUAUUUUACUCAUAGGAAUGCAAGUCUGUUCUUUCAAGAGAAGAAUGUGUGUCUUUGCCUCACCCAAAUUGACUCACAAUUUCCAAAAGGCAUAGAUACACUUGGGUCAAAGGUGAGG
ensembl:lncRNA